UGCAAUCAAGAAGAAUAUAGGAAGAUGGUGGAGAAGUUGUACAAGCCUCCAAGUGCGUAAUUAUGAGAAGGAGAUAGCAUUUUAGGUGCAGAAGCUUAAGUGGAAGGGUGGGACGAGCUUGUUUUUUGACUUCUUUUCUCCUUUUUUUUUUUUUCUCGUGUGUUGUUCUUAUUUCUGUAGUUGUUCUCCAUUCAGUGAUCUUACGUGGAAAGAUUGAAUAUAAAAUUGCUCCUCUCUCUCUCUCUCUUCCCUCUCUCUCAUGGAGUGAAAAUGUAUUGUGUAUAAAAUUCCCUUAAUGCAUCUUACUUUUUUUUUUUUCAAAAAAAA
rnacentral:misc_RNA from 1 species